AAUUACAUAAUAAUAUCAUUAGAAAAAUUUAAUCAAAAACAAAAUCCUUUAAUGAUGUCAUUAAGGUUACCAAAAUUAUUUAACUACAAUAUUCAUUUCUUAAUUAUAGGGCUUAUUGGAUCUAAAGACGGGUCAUCAAAGAUUUCCUAAACUGAAGCAAAAUAUACCGAAUAUUCAAAUAUCUAUCUGUUACCAAAUUAUAUACAAAUAAGUUCGUAAAAUAAUUUAAUAUUUUAUAUACAAAAUCAAUUAAAUCUUAAUCACAUAAAAAUUAGCACAAAAAAUAAAGUAUUCAACAAUUAAAAAUUUAUCAAUUCUCUGUGAUAUAUGAGUUUUUAUACUAUAUUCGAAUAAAGUGUAAUAUA
rnacentral:sRNA from 1 species